CUGGACUCAAUAAGAACACAUGAACCUAUCACACUCAGGUGGCUGCAGAAGAAGUGCCCCUUUCUCUGGCCCACCUCAGUCUGAUGUCAUCUCUAUCCCGGUGAAGUGUGAUGCUACCACUUCCUGUCCAGAUGGUUCCUCCUGCUGUCAUCACCCCACCGGCAUUUGGACUUGCUGCCCAACACCAAAUGGUGGGUGUUGUCAUGAUGGGUGGCACUGUUGCCCUUCUGGUCAAAAGUGUGACAUCAGUAUGAACAGGUGUGUGAUCUCUGACGGCCUGAGGUGCCCCUUUAUUAUUAAGGAGCCGGUGCUUUCUGUGAUCAAAGCCACAAAGGUUUUCAAGGCAGUCAACAAGCAGAUCCCAUCGACACCACUUGGUCCCCAUUGACAAUCUGUUAGUAAACCUCUUAUAAUAAACCACAACUGCUUUUUUUGUGCCACAUAUGCAAGACUAACAACAAUUUCUUAUUAUUUUACAUUCCUAUUGAGAUUGGGACUGGACUUUUGUGAAUGCAAGUGGUGAACCAUACCAUUUACUAAGAAACGUAUG